CCCCGCAAGGGGUAAGUAGAGUGGCAAACGGGUGAGUAACACGUGGGUGAUCUGCCUCAGAGUGGGGGAUAACGACCCGAAAGGGUCGCUAAUACCGCAUAACAUCCUGCCUUUGGAUAGGUGGAGAUCAAAGUUGGGGAUCCGCAAGGACCUGACGCUCAGAGAGGAGCCCGCGGCCGAUUAGCUAGUUGGUGAGGUAACGGCCCACCAAGGCAACGAUCGGUAUCCGGCCUGAGAGGGCGGACGGACACACUGGGACUGAGACACGGCCCAGACUCCUACGGGAGGCAGCAGUGGGGAAUUGUUCGCAAUGGGCGCAAGCCUGACGACGCAACGCCGCGUGGAGGACGAAGAUUUUCGGAUCGUAAACUCCUUUCGAUCGGGAAGAACAGCUUUUGGGUUAAUAGCCUGAGAGUCUGACGGUACCGAGAGAAGAAGCCCCGGCUAACUCUGUGCCAGCAGCCGCGGUAAUACAGGGGGGGCAAGCGUUGUUCGGAAUUACUGGGCGUAAAGGGGUUGUAGGCGGCCAACUAAGUCCGACGUGAAAUCCCAAAGCUUAACUUUGGAACUGCGUCGGAUACUGGAUGGCUUGAAUUCGGGAGAGGGAUGCAGAAUUCCAGGUGUAGCGGUGAAAUGCGUAGAUAUCUGGAGGAAUACCGGUGGCGAAGGCGGCAUCCUGGACCGACAUUGACGCUGAAAACCGAAAGCUAGGGGAGCAAACGGGAUUAGAUACCCCGGUAGUCCUAGCCCUAAACGAUGAAUGCUUGGUGUGGCGGGUAUCGAUCCCUGCCGUGCCGAAGCUAACGCA
rnacentral:rRNA from 1 species